rnacentral:lncRNA from 10 species
AAUUAUUGCAAUGUUAAGUCAAAAAGUUAGGAUUCAUCAUGCUUAUGCACUAUAAUUGCAACUACGUAAAAAGUAUUAUUAGGGAAAACAAUGUGAAAGAAGAUACACCAGCAUGCUAAGAGUUAUAUUAGAAAAAAAGAAAAGUCAUCCCUGGUAUCUUCAGCCCCGCUCCCCACAUGGUAAUUUUUAUCAUUGGUCUUUCUUUCUCUGAUAUUGACAACAAUGUCUUCUUAGUAUGUAAAGCACUCUGGAAGUGCAGCUUCAAGAUUCAGUCUUUUCGCCGGGCGCAGUGGCUCACGACUGUAAUCCCAGCACUUUGGGAGGCUGAGGCAGGCGGAUCAUGAGGUCAGGAGAUCGAGACCAUCCUGGCUAACACGGUAAAACCCUGUCUCUACUAAAAAUAAAAAAAAUCAGCCAGGCGCAGUGGCAGACACCUGUAGUCCCAGCUACUCGGGAGGCUGAGGCAGGAGAAUGGCAUAAACCCGGGAGGUGGAGCUUGCAGUGAGCCGAGAUCGCACCACUGCACUCCAGCCUGGGCAACAGAACGAGACUCCAUCUCAAAAAAAAAAAAAAAAAAAAAAAGAUUCAGUCUUUUCGAUCAGGUUGCUAUCCCAAGCCCCUCUUAUGAUCAGAGUAAUUCCAUAACGCUACUUCUCAAACUUGUAAUUGGUAGCUUU